rnacentral:lncRNA from 1 species
UCUGCCAUAUGAGGACACAGCAAGAAGGCAGCUGUCUGCAAGGCAGGAACCCAGAAGAGACCUUGAUAUGGGCCUUCUAGCUUCCAAAACUAUGAGAAAAGAGAUUUCUGCUGUUUGAGCCCCCUAGUCUACAGUAUUGUGUUAUGGCAGCCCAAGCUAAGACAGAACCCAAGGUUUCUAGCUCCAGGGAUGGGGCGGCACCAAAUUCUUCAACUGACAAGUCGGUGCACUUCUAGAAUUGCUCCUCUCUUCCCACCCCUACCUCAGGACCCCAGUUCCCACCAACUCUCCCCAUGGCAGCUCCCGUGCUGCAGCCUAAUGAAUGAAGCAGGUCGCCUGGGAAACUGCUGCCACACACAGCCCUGCUCAGAGCACCUCCCCGACCUGCAGAGCAGUUGGCCACACCAGAUGUGACCAACAGGAGUCUGCAGCCACAAGUCCUGACCUCUCCAGUCCCUACCUCCUCAAAAGCUGCCACUGUUCCUCCUAGAGCAGCAAGGAUGAAAUGGCCCUCUUCAAGCAGAAAGGCCCAGCCAUUAAAAAGGUUAGGAUCUGGGAGAAUGCAUCAAGCCCAGGGGGCCGUGGAAAGGCUGGAGGACACACCUAAACAUGUGGAAUCCCAACGCCGGACACCCAGGGUCAAAUCCAUAUCCCCCUCAGCACUAGGUGCCCUGGAGGUUCCAAUCCUGCCCACCCACCACCUAUCAAUCCACCCUUUCCCCCAAGCCCGUGUCCUCCUCCCCCAGGAGCUCCCCAGGGCAAUCCAGCUUUCCCCCAACAUGGGGCCCCUCAUCCUGUGCCACAGCCAGGGUAUCCAGGAUGCCAACCUUCGGGUCCCUACCCUCCUCCAUACCCACCACCUGCCCCUGGAAUCCCUCCUGCGAAUCCCUUGGCUCCUGGCAUGGUCAGACCAGCAGUGAUGGUGGACAAGAAGAGGCAGAAGAAAAUGAAGAAAGCUCAUAAAAAGAUGCACAAGCACCACAAGCCUGGCAAGCAUUCCUCCUCCUCUUCCAGCAGUGACUCUGACUAAAUACAGGCCCUGGACCCUUCCCUCAAGUCUCACCAGUUGUGCUUUCCCCAUCAAGCUUCAGAUGCCAUGCUGCACUGGGGGAGAGUAGCCCUUGUGCUCCCCACCCGCUAUCCGCACCUGAGCCUUACCCUGCUGUUGAGCCCUGAGUGGCUAGGGAAAAUGGGAAGAGGAUUGCCAUGGCCUGGCCAUCUUCUUGCUGCUUGGAUAGAUCAUACAGUUAAUGAGUUUAGCAGGGGAGCUAUUUUUUUGAAGACGAUGAACUAAAUGUUGAAGACAAGUUUGAGAUCUGUAAAAUGUGAUUUUUUUUACUUCUGCUUAUAAUACUUGUGAUUGGGGAGGUUUGUGGAAAUUUAAUUAUGAUGAAAAACCUCUAUCUUUUUUUGUAAUGUUGGCAUACUUGGGGAAUUCAGUGGCAAAUACAUUCCCCAGCAGGCCUUCUGUUGGUUGCACUAAGUGCAAGGUUGCUGGGAAGUAGAGUCCGUUCGGUUGAUGAGCUUUGACUGCCGUUUUGGAACCUCACCUCUCCUCCUUAGCCCAAUAUGCUGUCUCAGGUCCUAUUCUUGUUCUCCAGCUGUCAGUCCAAA